rnacentral:rRNA from 1 species
GUUUGAUCCUGGCUCAGGACGAACGCUGGCGGCAUGCCUCACACAUGCAAGUCGAACGAUCCACCUCAACCUAGUUGAGAAUUGGAUAGUGGCGGACGGGUGAGUAACACGUGGGCAACCUGCCCUAUAGACCGGGAUACCAUUGGGAAACCGAUGUUAAUACCGGAUACCUUAUCUAUAUCACCUGAUAAAGAUAAGAAAGAUUUAUCGCUAUAGGAUGGGCCCGCGCUUCAUUAGCUAGUUGGUAGGGUAACGGCCUACCAAGGCGACGAUGGAUAGCUGGUCUGAGAGGGCGAUCAGCCACACUGGGACUGAGACACGGCCCAGACUCCUACGGGAGGCAGCAGUGGGGGAUAUUGCGCAAUGGGGGCAACCCUGACGCAGCAAUGCCGCGUGAAGGAUGAAGGUCUUCGGAUCGUAAACUUCUGUUAAGAGGGAUGAAUAAUGACAGUACCUCUAGAGGAAGCUCCGGCUAACUACGUGCCAGCAGCCGCGGUAACACGUAGGGAGCGAGCGUUGUCCGGAAUUACUGGGCGUAAAGAGCAUGUAGGUGGUUUAGUAAGUCAGGUGUUAAACUCCAGGGCUCAACCCUGGAUUGCACAUGAAACUGCUGAACUUGAGGACAGGAGAGGAAAGUGGAAUUCCUAGUGUAGCGGUGAAAUGCGUAGAUAUUAGGAGGAACACCAGUGGCGAAGGCGACUUUCUGGACUGUACCUGACACUGAGAUGCGAAAGCGUGGGGAGCGAACAGGAUUAGAUACCCUGGUAGUCCACGCCGUAAACGCUGGGCACUAGGUGUAGGGGGUUUAGAUACCCUCUGUGCCGCAGUUAACGCACUAAGUGCCCCGCCUGGGGAGUACGACCGCAAGGUUGAAACUCAAAGGAAUUGACGGGAGCCCGCACAAGCAGCGGAGCAUGUGGUUUAAUUCGAAGCAACGCGAAGAACCUUACCAGGGCUUGACAUCCUCUGAAGCUUUUAGAGAUAAAAGUGUCCUCUUUUGAGGCAGAGAGACAGGUGGUGCAUGGUUGUCGACAGCUCGUGUCGUGAGAUGUUGGGUUAAGUCCCGUAACGAGCGCAACCCUUAUUCUUAGUUGCCAGCAAGUCGAGUUGGGCACUCUAAGGAGACUGCCGGUGAUAAACCGGAGGAAGGCGGGGAUGACGUCAAAUCAUCAUGCCCCUUAUGUCCUGGGCUACACACGUGCUACAAUGGCCUGAACAACGGGGAGCGAAGGAGCGAUCUGGAGCGAAUCCUUUAAAUCAGGUCUCAGUUCGGAUUGCAGGCUGCAACUCGCCUGCAUGAAGUCGGAGUUGCUAGUAAUCGCGAAUCAGCAUGUCGCGGUGAAUGCGUUCCCGGGCUUUGUACACACCGCCCGUCACACCACGAAAGUUUGCAACACCCGAAGCCGGUGAGUUAACCUUUUUAGGGAACAGCCGUCGAAGGUGGGGCGAAUGAUUGGGGUGAAGUCGUAACAAGGUAGCCGUA